ensembl:lncRNA
GGCAUGUAGACUUCCUGUUUUCGAUUCCGCCUUCAAAAUAAAAGCUCGCUGUAAAAACAAAAUGCUAUAUGAUCUCAGUGAUAGGAAAUCAUCAAUAUAUUUUAGCUGUUUCGAUAUUUAUGGUAGUUUUGCUAACACCAGCCUCACUACGUCCUUAACUUCAGUGUCAGGAACGGCUGCUUUGUGUUAAACGAAGCCAGAGAGGUCCAACUCGGCGGAAAAUCGUCUCCCUCCAGCAGAAAGAAGGCAGAAACCUGAACCAGAACGAGAGGUUCCACAUCUGAUGAUCCAAGGAGACCAGAAGGACCUCUCCCAGUGAUACCAGGAGAUCCAGUCUACGGUCGAGUGUUCCGAAGGAAGUGGGAUCAGCCGAGGAGGGAAGGACCCUACGAGGUGCCAACAGCCACAAUCACGGCCGUCCAAGUGAAAGGAAGCAAGACGUGGUAUCAUCUAAACCACUGCACCCGAGUCCCGACGGAGAGAAGGACACAACCAUACAGAGAUGAGGACACAGAGGAUGCUGAUUCACCAGAGGGGACCCCGGAGGGAGCAGGAGCAGCGGAAUUGAUCAAAGCCCCACACAACGGAAAAUGGCAGACCAAAUACAACGAGUGCAUCAGCUAACACACUCCGAAGAAGCACCAGGGGAAAAGAGCCUGAAAAGAAAAGAGACAAACGACCAAAGUUUCCUCCAGUAUGGCCAGAAAGCCCAGAAGUGGGAGGGGGUAACAUGUCUGCCACUCCUGAUGAUAUACCUGUUGGGGCAGGCCUCUUUGACAGAAGCCCUCUAAAGAGGGGCUCCGAGGUAUUGCCUAAAGAAUGGGAACAUCUCUUCCCUGAAAUGGACACCUUCCAAAUGGAAGCCCAGUCCGGCCUGAGGAGGGAGCUUCAGGGGAGGAAAGAAGGAGAGACCCCACUAACGAGAAGGAAAAGUCAAGUGAGCUGAAGAAAAUGGCAAUUUCCCCAAAAAUUGACUUUUCAGCUCUUGAAUUGUCUCCAUAAUGAACAAUUGAAGUUAGAACAACAGAAGAACAAUGACAUUGACAUAACAGAAGUAACAGUGAACACUAGUAUAGCAACAACAGACUCACGCACAAUCAAGAUGUAGGGUGGAAACAGGAAGAGAAGAGAGGGACCAGUCAAACAAUCUAAAAAGACUGACAAGGUUAGAAUCUUUGUUCCACCUCAACAUAUAACUGAAACAGGAAAACAGAAGACAAAAGGAUCAAACCCUUACCGGAGAUUGCAUUCGGUGGAUGGACAUAUCGAACGAAGAGAGAAGUCAUUUGGGACUCAAAAGGAUGUGACCUGACGUUAACCAAAGAAGUGGACGAGUGGGUGCUCACCAUGAAUCAGAUUGAACCAUAUUUGAUAAUGUAUCAUGUGAAUAAGGAUAGAUAUUAGGGUAGUUGUACCUAAACCACAUGUUGAAUGCUCGAUGUGGAAGCCCAUUCAGUGUUGAAUUACUUCAAGAAGAAAUAAUGUUGAUUAAGGUUAUGCACAUUAUAAUUUAACGCGUUCAUAAAUGUUUUACGUCGUUAUUACACAUUGAUUACACUAUCACUUGUAUUUCAUAUGUCACAACGAUUCAUCGAUACGUAUGCUAUGACGCUGGUAAAAUUGUCUCGCGCGCACCUACAGUGCUGGUCAUAAAAAAAGCUAGCUAGCUCAUGGAUGCAAACAAUGUUCUUCCCCAAAAACAUAGAAAAACGACAUCUGUUUCAGUAGCUAUAGUUAUAAGACUAUUCCUAUUUGGAAUAUUGUUCCUAUUUGUUUAAUGCUGGUCGGACCCAUCUAUGUGAAGCUAGCCACAAUAAGGAUUAGCCACAGUAGUGGAACUUUGAGGUUAACCUUAAAAAUAAAAAAUAUGUCAUUGACAGAGAUGCAAAUGAAUACAAAUAGUAUAAUAAUGGCAUAAUGGAAUAGAUUGUGCUAAACGAGGUUGGAAUGUUAUAUAAAAUCAACAAAAGACAAUAAUUUGUUAAUUUGACAAAUUGUUGAAAUCACACUGGUUGUAUUAGAAUUUAGAAUUACAUUGGGGGCAUGCUUAUUUCACUGUACAGCCUUACCUAUGGAUUGUGGAUCAUGUUUUGCACACUUUGUACAAAAUAAUACAAUGCAGUACUACAGGAUAUUUCUUAACGCAACUCUUUAUUAGCUAGCUAUAACUGGCAUGUUCACGUAUCGCCAACCAGGAUCAAAGUGCCCAUGACCUAACCAUUUGGGUGGUCUUAACCAAUCAUUGCACAGUAUAAUAUGGCGGUAAAAUGCAUCCAAUUACAAUUCAGUAUGUUUACACAUAUCAGUCUACUCCGUGACACCCAGAGAACAUUAGCGUCAUAACUCUUAUUGUGGGACUCUGAAACAACCGUGGAUUUAGACACAUGUAUUGUCAACCUAUGUGUAUUGAACACUUUUCCAGAGGAAAAAUAAUACUGCGUGGAUGUUUUGGAGUCUGAUAACUCUGAGGAGGACGUUGGGGAAAAAAUAUCUUGGGUAUUGUGUAGACUGAUACCCCAUUUCAUUGAUCCCCAAUCCUUAGGUAAAGCUGUACAGGGCAGUAUGAAUGUCAAUACACACAUUAGGCUGACUGGGGAGGUGAUUUCACAGUCACAGUCCUGCGAUAAGAGCUACAUUUGCAUAAAUUCUUCACAGUUGUGUUCUGUGGGUGUCACCAAGUAGACUGAUACCCGAUUUCAUUGCUUCACAUUCCAACCUUGUUUAACAUGAUCUAGUCUAAAUAUGGCAUGAUUCCACCAAUUGUAACCUUCUGCAUCACUUUCAAAUAGGUACUUUUAUUUUGAAGGCAAAUUGCAAAUUCAAAAAUAUAUAUAUAUAUAUAUCUGUACCAAAUCUUUACUGUGGCUAGCUUCAUAACCCGGUCAGGGCGAGCCUCAUGAAGCUGGCUGGCUGCUUAUAACGUUAGCAUUGGGCAAAUGGGUUUAGUAGCUGGCUAGUUAUUUAUUUUCAUGAACUGAAGUUCAAUUUCAAUAGGCAAACAACAAGUGGCUACCUAGCUAAUACUUACUCCCAAGGAUUCCUAAAUCAUUGCUAAGAAUAACGAAAGUGACUGCAGUUUCUACAGGUCAUUGUUUUCAGGCUGGUUGUAUUGGUGCUAGCUAGGUACCAAGCUAAAGCUAGCUAGCUACCCCAGAAGUUGCGGUCCAACACAACAUUCAACAAUUAAACUGUUAUUUGACGUGUCAAAUUAAAAGCUUAUUUAACAUGUUAAAUAGUGUUAUUUGACAUGUAUAUUUUUUGACACGCAAAGACCCAAACGACGUUCCAUACUUCAGGCGAAUAUAGAAGUUCAUAGGCUUUCCCAGACGGUCUGCCAUACGGGAUCAUUGGGACAGUGUUGCCAACUCCUCAGUAAGGAAACUAGCUAUUGGCUGUCCUAAAAGGCGCAAAAUGACGUCAUUACUCAAUUUGCAUAAUCGGCC